AUUGAACGCUGGCGGCAGGCUUAACACAUGCAAGUCGAACGAGUGGCGGACGGGUGAGUAAUGGUUGGGAAUCUAGCUUAUGGCGGGGGAUAAAUACGGGAAACUGUAGCUAAUACCGCGUACCAUAGGCUGAGACCACGUGGGAUUAGGUAGUUGGUGAGGUAAAGGCUCACCAAGCCGACGAUCUCUAGCUGGUCUGAGAGGAUGACCAGCCACACUGUGCCUGAGACACGGCCCAGACUCCUACGUUAGGCAGCAGUGGGGAAUAUUGCGCAAUGGGGGCAACCCUGACGCAGCCAUGCCGCGUGUAUGAAGAAGGCCUUCGGGUUGUAAAGUACUUUCAGUCGGGAGGCGUUACCGACAGAAGAAGCACCGGCUAACUCCGUGCCAGCAGCCGCGGUAAUUC
rnacentral:rRNA from 1 species